UUACAGCCUCUUUGGGCAAUGAGGAAUAUCGAAAGGUGGAAAAAGGUUGCCACGCUCACCCUUUCUCCUAGCGCUCACCCACUCCUGCAAGCACCCUAUUGCCUACUCCCAUUAGCCCACCAUUCUUCUUAAAACCAAGCAAUCCUAUUCUUCCGUGAAACACGUGUGCCCCUCCCUGCCAAGGCUGCAUCUCAUCCCCUGCCUGGAUUCUCCGGCAGCUGCUGGGUCUCGCCUGCUGGGGGAACGAUUGGGU